rnacentral:rRNA from 1 species
GCUCAGAUUGAACGCUGGCGGCAGGCCUAACACAUGCAAGUCGGACGGUAGCACAGAGAGCUUGCUCUCGGGUGACGAGUGGCGGACGGGUGAGUAAUGUCUGGGGAUCUGCCCGAUAGAGGGGGAUAACCACUGGAAACGGUGGCUAAUACCGCAUAACGUCGCAAGACCAAAGAGGGGGACCUUCGGGCCUCUCACUAUCGGAUGAACCCAGAUGGGAUUAGCUAGUAGGCGGGGUAAUGGCCCACCUAGGCGACGAUCCCUAGCUGGUCUGAGAGGAUGACCAGCCACACUGGAACUGAGACACGGUCCAGACUCCUACGGGAGGCAGCAGUGGGGAAUAUUGCACAAUGGGCGCAAGCCUGAUGCAGCCAUGCCGCGUGUAUGAAGAAAGGCCUUCGGGUUGU